rnacentral:lncRNA from 1 species
AAAAAGAAAGAGAAGGAGGGAGGAGGGAGGAGAGAGAGAGCAAUAAAGAUAGACAGACAGAAAGGGAAAUAGAAAGAAAAUUGGCCUGCCCAGGCAGAGUUUGCUGAUAUAAACCAGUGGAGGAAGAAGGAAAAGGAAGUGGACUGGCCUGAUCCUGGACAUUGGCUCUAAAAAAAUUCUAGCCCCUGGACCACUUUAUUUGAUGGAAGGUUUUGGAAGCUGCUCAGCACCGCACCACAUGAAUAUCCUGUUCUGGCCAAAUUUGCAGCAGAUGAUUCAGUGGCCACAUCCCCCAUAGGAAAGAGGAAAACACUUUGUCCACAGGUCACCCUGGGCCCUGCUGGCAGUCCACACAGAGCACACAGCACUGACUUAGCCACCCUCAGGGCUGUCUCUGUCCUGAAAUGCUCAGCCCCACACCCUCUCAUCACUCUGUGUCCUCAGGGAUGAUGGAGGAGAGUGAGUGGACUCUGAUGGACUGGCUCCAUGCCUCAGUUCUCCUUCUGGAAGGUCUGAGGGAAGACACAUAUCCUUGUUGCACAGUCCUGACCUUGACCCCAUGACAGCUAAGAGCUGGGCCUAGAGGGGCAGAGUCAGGCUAUCAGGAGGUAAGUGACAAUUUGCAGGUGAGAGUGCAGCAGUCUUGGUGCCAAACCAGGAGGUGUGGGGACACUGACUGAGAGCCAGAGCCCUGGAGGGGGGCCCUCAGACCCCUCGGGGCAGGCGUCUGCUUGCUGCUGGGGCACCGAGGGGAGGCAGUGGCUUUGCUGUUUCUUCUGCUUCUGUGCCUUCUCUCAUUAGCCUGAGACCUUAGUGGGGACCUGAGAACAUCCAGAUGAUAAGAACCUUGCAGCCCUCUGCUUCUGAGGACCAGCCACCCUACAGAGCUGUCUCUUCUUCCUCCCGGGCCCUCCAUCUCUCCCAUCUGCAUCUUCCCUUCUUCCUUCCCCACACCUCCUUACCUUCUGUGUCAGCUUCUUUCUCACCUCCUUCCUCAUACCUUCUGUCUUUCCAUUUCACUCUUGCAUUUAGUACGCAGAACUCCCUACAACAAACACAAUAAACACACCAUUGCACACCUAUAUCCUCCUUUACAACUAUAUUAAUGCAGGACCUCAUUUACAUCCUUUCACACACAACCACAUGCAUGUGACACACACGCAACUUUCAGGCUCACGCAAACAAGCACUUGUGUAUACCCUCACUCACAAAUGCCCCUUCACCCACAGAGCCCUCAUCUCAUCACCUCUGGCAGUUCCACUGUAGGGCUGCCAUGACUGAUGGCUCUGCUCUGAGGAGCUGUCACUAAAUGAGGGUCUGUCACAUCCCUUCCACUGAUCCUCCCACCCCCAUCCUGGGCUAACUGGGGCAGGAGGGCAUGCAGGCAGUGAGCCAAUUCAAGGCUCAUCCAGGUAGACGCCUGAACAGAGCACCUCAGUAAAUGCAGGGCCACCAGCGGUGGCUCUGAUUUCAGGACUAAACUGUAACUGGGAGCUGGGCUCUUGGGCAGCUGAGUUAAUGGAGUUGGGAGAUUUUUACAGAGAGGUCACUGGUUCAGACCCAGCUCUGGUCAGGGGGAACUGAAAAAUAGCUUUAUCUGACAGCUGAUGGCCUUCCUGCAUUAGCUGAGAAGGUCUCUUGCCCAUUCUACCAUGCAGGCAAAUUCAUUGCACCUCUGAGUUGGUGCAGAGCUUGGCAAGCUUAUGGAGGCUUGGGACAAAUUAGAAAGAUAACACACACACACACACACACACACACACACACACACACACACACACUCACACACACUGUAACCCUCUUCCUCUCCUCCUCCUGCAAGAACAGAUUUUUUUAAAGGUCCCUUCUCUGGGCAGAAGGACUCACAGCUUGGUGUUUUAGUGUGAUUCUACCUCUUUCUCGGGGAGGUCACCCUCUUGCACAGGACACAUGGAUUGGUGAGGAGAAUAGUGGCUGGAUCCCAAUACCCUUGAUCCCUGAGGCUAAAGACUCUGGGCAACACAACUUGCAGAUGGCAGCCCUGGGCAGGGAUCUCCACACCAUCUCCCAUCCAGACCCGGCGAGCCUCCUCCCUGUGCUUUCAGGACAGCCCAGAACCAAAGGGGACAGACCUCUCCUAGACCUCUCUAUUGCCUUCCCCUCACAGGCAAGGACAUCUGUGAGGUGUGAUGGCUGAGCUGUCCCUACUUGGGGAAUGACCAGAGCAAGACACUCACGUAAGGUCACAGCUGGCUCUUUGCUAACACUGGUGGGACAAGCAACAAUAACAACCAUCAGUACAAGUGUUAAAUUGCAAAUAAUCCUUCCCAGCGCCCAAAGUACUUUUGCACAUGUACCCUGUCCUCCUUGAGAGGAGUCGUGAGAAUGAGGAUCUCGUAGCCCUCACUGGCAUCUUUCUAUUUUGAAGGGCCGCCCAACAUAGUGGUGAGAGAGGGGAGUUAAGAAUCAGGACAGUCUGGCUUUGAAUCCCAGCUCUUGCUGAUUAGUACCCAAGUGACAGUUUUAUAGCCUCUCUGAGCCUCAGUUUAAUUGCAAAGUGGGCACAAUACUACUUGCCUUACAGGCUUAUUGGGAAAAUGAAAUGAAUCUUUUUUUGGUCCUGGUUUGGACGUAAGGCAAAUUAAUAAGAAAACUUAUGGAGCUCAAAUAAGGAAUUAACUUUCUGGAAGAAGCAGAGAUAUAACAGGGUGGGGCUAAAGGAGACCGAAUUGUGCAUCUGAUUCACUUCUUGAACAUCUGGAGGGCACAGGCAUGGGCUGCAACCGUGGACAAGCUACUCUCCUGCCCUGCAGAAUCUUAGAAAUGACAAUCCUAAUGAGCCCUAACCCUGAGUCAGUCAUCAGCAUCAAAACAGAGGCAUGGGACCAACGGAGGAAGAGAUCACGGCCAUGGGUGGAAGAUGGACCAUUCUGUUGGAAACGGUGGAAGAGAUUUACUGAGAUAAAUCUUAAAAGGGUUUAACAGAUGGAGGCGGGAUGAAAGGAAGGAGGUGGCAGUCCAAGAAAAGGGAAGAACUUUGACACAGGCACCAAAUGGGGAGGAUGGAAGUAGACCACUUGCAUCAGACCUUGGGAUACAGAGAACAGGGCAUGGUCCUCAAGGCAGUAACCUGGAAACUGUGUGGUCCUCCUAAGAGACUAGAUGGGAGGAGACAAGUUCCUUCCCAAGUGGGUAUCAAAGGCAACACUCUGACUAAUUUGUGUAGACCGCCUAAUCCUCCUUCUCUCCAAGAUGGAGUGGGGUUCGCCUUGUCCUGUAUUCAUGCAUCCUUUAUAUUAUACCACUUUUAGAUGCUCUCCAAACAUCUAGAUCUUCUGCAGCUGAAAUGAGCAUCUUGCUCUUGAAGAGUGUCAUUUAAAAAAAAUCUUCUACAUGUACACACCAAAGGAGAAUUGGGGGCCCCAGGGCCAUGAAAGGCAAGAAGCAAGAGGGAUUUGGGAGAAUUCACAGAACUGCUCCAGAGCAGUUAGGGAAGGAACAAAAGGAAUAUCUCGAUGUGUCAGGGCAUCGAACUUUUGUGCCUUAAAAUAAUAGACCUCCUGGGGUAGGGAAGUUGUACUGCUCAAGUAGUGAUUCACAUACUAGAGUAAAGAGAAAAAUAUUCUCAUACAGAGAAAAACCUUUUCAAGGACUCCAAUGUUAAGUUACUUUUGUUAUAAUGGUACUUAAAUUUAAGCAAACAUAAAACUGAGUAAGCAUAGAUUCUUAACACUUGGAAAUUUUACCUAACUAUACAACAAAAGUAAAUUUAUAAAUUUGUAAAAAGUAAAACAGAUUCAAAUGAAUCAUACUGAUUUAGCAUGGUAUGCUGCUGUUUUGCUCAGAAUAAAUCCCUGCUAACAAGGUGAAUAGCAAGCCUGACUACUGAGUAAUACAGUGACAAUUCUUUUGACUUCUUUUUUUUUUUUGUCUUUUGUCUUUUUAGGGCCACAUCUGAGCCAUAUGGAAGUUCCCUGGCUAGGGGUCUAAGUGGAGCUAUGGCUGCCUGCCGGCCUACGCCACAGCCACAGCAACGCCAGAUCUGAGUCGUGUCUGUGACCUACACCACAGCUCAUGGCAGUGCCAGAUCCUUAGCCCACUGAGCAAGGCCAGGGAUCAAACCCGUGUCCUCAUGGAUGCUAGUCUGGCUCAUUAACCACUGAGCCAUGAUGGGAACUCCUCCUUUGACUUUAAGAUAUCUGUAUAUCUUGUGUAAUAACCCAAUGUUUCCACCACUUGUCUUUUUUCCUGUAAACCCAAGACACAGAAAGUCAACUUAAUUACAUCCCUGAAGUUGUAGAAAAGUAUUAUAACUUGCCCUACAAGGCCCCCCUUUGGUGUUAUUCCAUCUUCUUCUUCAUUCUUCCUGCCUUUUAGUCCCUUCCAUCUCUGUAAACAAGUGGGUAUUUGAAUGUAUAUGGUGUGUGUUCUUGGAUGCCUGUUUGUAAAAUACACAGGGUUGUUUGGGGCCUGAUUUUAAUUUAUGUAAAUUAUACUGAGCAAUAGGUUUCGUUCUGUUUCUUACUUUUUUUCAUUUACUGCAUGUCUUUAUGAACGACCCAUGUUGCUGAGUGAACUUCAAAAUAGUCCUUCCAACAGUGCCGAGGGCACCAGGCUCUGCAUUGGCUGUAUUUUCAUCAGCUGGUUUCCUGGGAUGAACAUAGAUGACCUUUGAUUUCCAGGGGCCGCAAAUAAAGCCGUGAUACAUCUCCUCAUCCAUUCAUGGGGAAGUUUCUCUAGAAUGCGUCUGCAGGAAUGGGGUUGGUGUUUAAUAAAAUACUUGUACAGUGAUAAUUUUAAUAAGAUUGUUCUCUGGAGUAGCUGCGCCAAUUUACAGCACAGUAUAAGUACCUUAGAUUUCUCCUCUCGUUACUUUGCUGGUCUUUGAUAGUGUCUGCCUUUAAUAUGUUUGCCAACUUGACAGGUAUAAAGUACUAUGUCACUGCACUAAUUGGCAUUUUUUCCAAGUAACAGUGAGUGAACCAUCACCUCAAAUAUUUCUAAGCCAGUUUGCGUUCUUCUUUUAUUUAUUUUUAUUUUUAAAAUAUUUUUUAUUUUUGUCUUAUUAGGGCCGCCCUGGCAGCACAUGGAGGUUCCCAGGCUAGGGGACAAAUUGAAGCUGCAGCCACUGGCUUAUGCCACAGCCACAGCAAUGUCAGAUCCGAGCCGCAUCUGAGACCUAUACCCAGCUUACAGCAACACCGGAUCCUUGACCCCCUAAGUGAGGCCAGAGAUCAAACCUGCGUCUUCUUGGAUACUAGUCAGAUUCAUCUCCACUGAGCCACAAUGGGAACUCCCAGUUUGCUUUCUUCUGCUCCAAAUUUUCUACCUAUAACUUUUGCCCACAUUUCAACUGUUUCCUUUCUUGUUGAUUUGCGGGAUUCUUUCAUAUCCUAGAUAGUAAUUUCUUAUUGGUUUUCUACUUUGAGGCAUCGCCUCCAAUUUUGUGGUUUAUUUGGUUAAUUUUGUCUACAUGUUCACCACUGAAUACAAAUCUUUAAUUUUGAGGUAGUUAAAUCAGCUUUUCACUUUUUGUUUGUGCUUCUUAAAUCUUAUUUAAAAAAGGUUUUCCCAACUCAAAACAACAAAUAUAUUCUCAUAUUUUAAAAAAUGUGUUACUAAAGGUAUGGGAUUUGCUCUGGGUUUUAAUAUAUAAUGUUUAUUAAAUUAAGAAAGUUUUCGUCUUAGUUUUUUGAAAGUUAUUUUAAAUCAUGUAUAGGUUUGAACUUCAUUAAGUGCUUUUUCUGAGUAUACUAGAAUAAUAACAUAGAAUAAUAAUAUAUGAAAUUUGUGAUUUAGAAUAAAUCUCCAAUGACAAGCUACCUUUCUUUCCUAGAAAAAUUCUUGCUUGACUGUAAUUUUUUAUUUGUUUUAACUCACUGUCAUGUUCAGGCAGUUAACAUUUCAUCUAGAACUUUUGUUUCAAUGUGCAUAAGUAAAAUGAACCUACGAUUUUUGUUUUUCUACUGUCCUUGUCCAGUUCUAGACUCUCAGUAAUAUGAGCCUUAUGAAACGAGCUGGGCAUCUUUCUCUUUUUCUGGGACAUUUUAUAUAAGGUAGGGAUAAUUUAUUGCGUGAACAUUUAUGAGUUUGUACCUGUAUAAAUGACCAGGUCUGGGAUUCUCUGGAAGGAGUUCUCCAAUUACCUUUUCCAUAUCUAUCGUGUAUAUUAUAUUUUAUAUAUUUUCAGGUUUAUCUACUUUAGUUUUUCAAUGUUAUUGAAACAUAGCCAGUGACAAUAUUCUUAUAUUAUUAAAGAUACCUCUUUUGCCUAAAUUUCUAUCCUUACAUUGCUUCAUUCAUUCAUUCAUUCAUUCAUCUGGCUUAGGGAAGAAUCCUCUGUGUUCCUCUCUGGGUUUGACACUCUGCAUUUGCCACCCAUUCCUUCCUUCACCCCCAUGUUCCCCCUCAGAGAACAUGCUGAACAAGGCUCUUUUCCAACAGCUUUAUCUUUUGCUUCCAAGAGCCUAGCCCUGGUCUUUGUGAAUAUGGUGCUGGAAGAGGAGUUAGUAAAGAGAUGGGAGAGGGAUAAUAAUGAGGUUGCGGGGAUGGGGGGGGCAGUAGUGAGGUGGGGAGGGGUGGUUGCUGUAUGGUCCCCACAGUUAAUUUCUCAUCAGCGUGUGCCAAUGAAGCCAACCCUACUUGUUGCCAAGGUAAUUGUAAACAAUGACACAAACACAGGCAUUGCAGUCACAUCCAAGUACUUGGUUAUGAAGUAGCCAACUCAAUAAUCCAGACUGUGCCUCUAUUAACUCCUUCCAAAGAUGAAUAUCGAAAUGAAAGCACACAAUUUAAAAAUCCCCCAGGGUUCUGUUGACCCCAGGAUGAGAAGCACUGUCUUGGAGUAUUUCUUCUUGCAUGUAUGCUUUCUUCUAUUUAUUUUUUAAUAUUAAUCUUUUAUAAUCUUAAAGCAUGCUAACACAAUUAUAUUUUACCAGCUUAAAAAAAAAAAAAAAA